rnacentral:rRNA from 1 species
GUCCACACAGUAACGAUGAAUACUCGCUGUUGGCGAUACAAUGUCAGCGGCCAAGCGAAGCAUUAAGUAUUCCACCUGGGGAGUACGCCGGCAACGGUGAAACUCAAGGAAUUGACGGGGCCGGCACAAGCGGAGGACAUGUGGUUUAAUUCGAUGAUACGCGAGGAACCUUACCCGGGCUUGAAUUGCAACUGACUGAGCUGGAAACAGUUCUUUCUUCGGACAGUUGUGAAGGUGCUGCAUGGUUGUCGU